AACGAACGCUGGCGGCAGGCCUAACACAUGCAAGUCGAGCGAGGACUUCGGUUCUAGCGGCGGACGGGUGAGUAACGCGUGGGAAUGUGCCCUUCUCUACGGAAUAGCCCUGGGAAACUGGGAGUAAUACCGUAUACGCCCUUUUGGGGAAAGAUUUAUCGGAGAAGGAUCAGCCCGCGUUGGAUUAGGUAGUUGGUGGGGUAAUGGCCUACCAAGCUGACGAUCCAUAGCUGGUUUGAGAGGAUGAUCAGCCACACUGGGACUGAGACACGGCCCAGACUCCUACGGGAGGCAGCAGUGGGGAAUCUUAGACAAUGGGGGCAACCCUGAUCGAGCCAUGCCGCGUGAGUGAUGAAGGCCUUAGGGUUGUAAAGCUCUUUCAGCUGGGAAGAUAAUGACGGUACCAGCAGAAGAAGCCCCGGCUAACUCCGUG
rnacentral:rRNA from 1 species